rnacentral:rRNA from 1 species
UACGUAGGGUGCGAGCGUUAAUCGGAAUUACUGGGCGUAAAGCGUGCGCAGGCGGUGAUGUAAGACCGAUGUGAAAUCCCCCGGGCUUAACCUGGGAACUGCAUUGGUGACUGCAUCGCUCGAGUAUGGCAGAGGGGGGGUAGAAUUCCACGUGUAGCAGUGAAAAUGCGUAGAGAUGUGGAGGAAUACCGAUGGCGAAGGCAGCCCCCUGGGUCAAUACUGACGCUCGUGCACGAAAAGCGUGGGGGAGCAAACAGG